rnacentral:rRNA from 1 species
AGAGUUUGAUCAUGGCUCAGGACGAACGCUGGCGGCGUGCCUAAUACAUGCAAGUCGAACGCUUUGCUUAUCACCGUAGCUUGCUACACCGAUAAGCAUUGAGUGGCGAACGGGUGAGUAACACGUGGGUAACCUGCCCAAAAGAGGGGGAUAACACUUGGAAACAGGUGCUAAUACCGCAUAACCAUAACAACCGCAUGGUUGUUAUGUAAAAGAUGGUUUUGCUAUCACUUUUGGAUGGACCCGCGGCGUAUUAGCUAGUUGGUAAGGUAAAGGCUUACCAAGGCAAUGAUACGUAGCCGAACUGAGAGGUUGAUCGGCCACAUUGGGACUGAGACACGGCCCAAACUCCUACGGGAGGCAGCA